UUCCGGUUGAUCCUGCCGGACUUGAGUGUAUGUGAAGUGGGCGGAAUGAGUAGUGUAGCGGUGAAAUGCUUAGAUAUUACUCAGAACACCAAUUGCGAAGGCAGCUCACUAAUCUACAACUGACGCUGAGGCACGAAAGCGUGGGGAUCGAACAGGAUUAGAUACCCUGGUAGUCCACGCCGUAAACGAUGUUCACUCGCUGUUUGCGAUAUACAGCAAGCGGCCAAGC
rnacentral:rRNA from 1 species